rnacentral:rRNA from 1 species
CGGGCGUCUUAACAUGCAAGUCGAACGGCAAGAGAGGAGCUUGCUUCUCUCCUAGAGUGGCGGACUGGUGAGGAACACGUGGGUAAUCUACCCUUAAGAUGGGGAUAGCUGCUAGAAAUAGCAGGUAAUACCGAAUACACUCGGCAUAUCACAAGAGAUGUUGAGGAAAGGAAGCUACGGCUUCGCUUGAGGAUGAGCUUGCGUCCCAUUAGCUAGUUGGUGAGGUAAAGGCCCACCAAGGCGACGAUGGGUAUCCGGCCUGAGAGGGUGAACGGACACAUUGGGACUGAGAUACGGCCCAAACUCCUACGGGAGGCAGCAGCUAAGAAUAUUCCGCAAUGGACGGAAGUCUGACGGAGCGACGCCGCGUGGAUGAAGAAGGCUGAAAAGUUGUAAAAUCCUUUUGUUGAUGAAGAAUAAGGGUGAGAGGGAAUGCUCAUCUGAUGACGGUAAUCGACGAAUAAGCCCGGCUAUAC